rnacentral:misc_RNA from 1 species
GAUGAAGAACGUAGCGAAAUGCGAUAAGUAAUGUGAAUUGCAGAAUUCAGUGAAUCAUCGAAUGUUUGAACGCACCUUGCGCUCUUUGGUAUUCCGAAGAGCAUGCCUGUUUGAGUGUCAUGAAAAUAUCAACCUAGACUUGGGUUUUGUGCUCUAGUCUCGGCUUGGAAUUGGGUGCUUGCCGCUUUUACGAGCGGCUCACCUUAAAUGUAUUAGCUGGAUCUGUCUUUGAGACUUGGUUUGACUUGGCGUAAUAAGUAUUUCGCUAAGGACAUUCUUCGGAGUGGCCUCGUUUCUAGGACGCCUGUCCGCUUUCCAAUACAAGUUCCACCUCGUGGACAUGACUUUUUAUUAUCUGGCCUCAAAUCAGGUAGGACUACCCGCUGAACUUAAGCAUAUCAAUAAGCGGAGGA